rnacentral:pre_miRNA from 1 species
UGUUCCAACGGCUGCUUCCAGGAAGAAGGGGAGGUGUAGCCACAGAUAGCUGCCUUUUUCCCUAGUCUUUGUGGAUGGCUGUUUAACA